UACGUAGGGUGCAAGCGUUAAUCGGAAUUACUGGGCGUAAAGCGUGCGCAGGUGGCUAUGCAAGACAGAUGUGAAAUCCCCGGGCUCAACCUGGGAAUUGCAUCUGUGACUGCAUAGCUAGAGUACGGUAGAGGGGGAUGGAAUUCCGCGUGUAGCAGUGAAAUGCGUAGAUAUGCGGAGGAACACCGAUGGCGAAGGCAAUCCCCUGGACCUGUACUGACGCUCAUGCACGAAAGCGUGGGGAGCAAACAGG
rnacentral:rRNA from 1 species